rnacentral:snoRNA from 1 species
ACCUCAUGAUUUGGGAAUUGGGCUAGCUUUCCAUUAAACCUCUCCCAUGCUUCAAACAAUAUUUCUCCAUUCAAUUGCUGAUGUUUACAAUCCCAUCCCACUUUUGAAGCA